GACGAACCGUGCGAACGUUAUUCGGAAUCACUGGGCGUAAAGCGCACGUAGGCGGAUUGCUAAGUCAGGGGUGAAAUCCUGGAGCUCAACUCCAGAACUGCCUUUGAUACUGGCGGUCUCGAGUCCGGGAGAGGUGAGUGGAACUGCGAGUGUAGAGGUGAAAUUCGUAGAUAUUCGCAAGAACACCAGUGGCGAAGGCGGCUCACUGGCCCGGUACUGACGCUGAGGUGCGAAAGCGUGGGGAGCA
rnacentral:rRNA from 1 species